rnacentral:rRNA from 1 species
ACGCACGCUGGCGGCGUGCUUCACCCAUGCAAGUCGAACGGAAAGGCCCUGCUUUUGUGGGGUGCUCGAGUGGCGAACGGGUGAGUAACACGUGAGUAACCUGCCCUUGACUUUGGGAUAACUUCAGGAAACUGGGGCUAAUACCGGAUAGGAGCUCCUGCUGCAUGGUGGGGGUUGGAAAGUUUCGGCGGUUGGGGAUGGACUCGCGGCUUAUCAGCUUGUUGGUGGGGUAGUGGCUUACCAAGGCUUUGACGGGUAGCCGGCCUGAGAGGGUGACCGGCCAAAUUGGGACUGAGAUACGGCCCAGACUCCUACGGGAGGCAGCAGUUGGGAAUAUUGCACAAUGGGCGGAAGCCUGAUGCAGCAACGCCGCGUGCGGGAUGACGGCCUUCGGGUUGUAAACCGCUUUCGCCUGUGACGAAGCGUGAGUGACGGUAAUGGGUAAAGAAGCACCGGCUAACUACGUG